GGACAUAUCAUAACGAAGAGGUAUCGUAAUUGAAGAGGUUUGGAAAGACCCACCACAGAAGGUAAUAGUCCUGUAUGUUAAACGAGAAGACUUCAGAUAUGAUCCAGAGUACCACGGGACACGUGAAACCCUGUGGGAAGCAGGAGGGACCACCCUCCAAGGCUAAAUACUACCUAGUGACCGAUAGCGUAUAGUACCGUGAGGGAAAGGUGAAAAGAACCCCGGGAGGGGAGUGAAAUAGAACCUGAAACCCUGCACUUACAAGCUGUGGAAGCACAUUUCUUGUGUGACCGCGUACUUUUUGUAGAACGGGCCAACGAGUUACGUUAAGUAGCAAGGUUAAGCACUUAAGGUGUGGAGCCGUAGCGAAAGCGAGUUUUAACUGAGCGUUCAGUUACUUGACGUAGACCCGAAACCGGGCGACCUACCCAUGAGCAGGAUGAAGCGAAAGUAAAAUUUCGUGGAGGUCCGAACCCACGAGCGUUGAAAAGCUCGGGGAUGACUUGUGGGUAGCGGUGAAAUUCCAAUCGAGCCCGGAGAUAGCUGGUUCUCCCCGAAAUAGCUUUAGGGCUAGCCUCAAGGUGAGAGAUACGGAGGUAGAGCACUGAAUGUCCUAGGGGGUAUUGCACCUACCGAAGACUAUCAAACUCCGAAUGCCGUCAUCUUAUACUUGGGAGUCAGACUGUGGGUGAUAAGAUUCAUAGUCGAAAGGGCAACAGCCCAGAUCGUCAGCUAAGGUCCCUAAAUGUAAGUUAAGUGGUAAAGGAUGUGGGAUUGCACAGACAACCAGGAUGUUGGCUUAGAAGCAGCCACUCAUUCAAAGAGUGCGUAAUAGCUCACUGGUCGAGUGAUCCUGCGCCGAAGAUUUCCGGGGCUAAAACUUACUACCGAAGCUACGGCAUCAGUAAUGAUGGGUAGGGGAGCUUCCCAUACGGGUUGAAGCAUGACCGUAAGGACAUGUGGACAGUAUGGGAGUGAGAAUGUUGGCAUGAGUAGCGAGAUGUGGGUGAGAAUCCCACAGGCCGUAAACCCAAGGUUUCCAGGGGAAGGUUCGUCCGCCCUGGGUUAGUCGGGACCUAAGCUGAGGCCGAAAGGCGUAGGUGAUGGACAACAGGUUGAUAUUCCUGUACUACCGAUAACCGUUUGAGAGAAGGGAUGACACAGUAGGAUAAGCUAAGCACACUGUUGGUUAUGUGUGCCCAAGCAUUGAGGCAGUCAAAGUAGGCAAAUCCGCUUUGAUAAUGCUGGGAUGUGAUGGGGAGCGAAAUUUAGUAGCGAAGUAGCUGAUUUCACACUGUCAAGAAAAGUCUCUAUCGAGGUUAAAGGUACCCGUACCGCAAACCGACACAGGUGGGUGAGGAGAGUAUCCUAAGGCCAGCGAGAGAACUGUUGUUAAGGAACUCGGCAAAAUGACCCCGUAACUUAGGGAUAAGGGGUGCCACCAUCAGGUGGCCGCAGAGAAUAGGCCCAAGCGACUGUUUACCAAAAACAUAGGUUUCUGCUAAGUCGCAAGACGAUGUAUAGGAGCUGACGCCUGCCCGGUGCUGGAAGGUUAAGGGGAUCUGUUAGAGCAAUCGAAGCAGUGAACUUAAGCCCCAGUAAACGGCGGCCGUAACUAUAACGGUCCUAAGGUAGCGAAAUUCCUUGUCGGGUAAGUUCCGACCCGCACGAAAGGCGUAACGAUUUGGGCACUGUCUCAACAACAGACUCGGUGAAAUUGUAAUUCCGGUGAAGAUGCCGGAUACCUGCGACAGGACGGAAAGACCCCAUGGAGCUUUACUGUAGCUUGACAUUGGGUUUUGGUACUACAUGUACAGGAUAGGUGGGAGGCUUUGAAACCAGGACGCCAGUUUUGGCGGAGCCAUCCUUGGGAUACCACCCUUGUAGUACUGGGACUCUAACCAUAGGCCAUGAAUCUGGUCUUGGGACACUGUCAGGUGGGCAGUUUGACUGGGGCGGUCGCCUCCCAAAAGGUAACGGAGGCGCUCAAAGGUUCUCUCAGUACGGUCGGAAAUCGUACGUAGAGUGUAAAGGCAAAAGAGAGCUUGAUUGCAAGACAUACAGGUCGAGCAAGGAUGAAAAUCGGACUUAGUGAUCCGGUGGUUCUGCGUGGAAGGGCCAUCGCUCAACGGAUAAAAGCUACCCUGGGGAUAACAGGCUUAUCUCCCCCAAGAGUCCACAUCGACGGGGAGGUUUGGCACCUCGAUGUCGGCUCAUCACAUCCUGGGGCUGUAGUAGGUCCCAAGGGUUGGGCUGUUCGCCCAUUAAAGUGGUACGCGAGCUGGGUUCAGAACGUCGUGAGACAGUUCGGUCCCUAUCCGUCGCAGGCGUAGGAAAUUUGAGAAGACCUGUCCUUAGUACGAGAGGACCGGGAUGGACGUACCUCUGGUGUACCAGUUGUUCUGCCAAGGGCAUGGCUGGGUAGCUAUGUACGGAAUGGAUAAGCGCUGAAAGCAUCUAAGCGCGAAGCCAACU
rnacentral:rRNA from 1 species